AUUGAACGCUGGCGGCAGGCUUAACACAUGCAAGUCGAGCGGGGUGAUGGUGCUUGCACUAUCACUUAGCGGCGGACGGGUGAGUAAUGCUUAGGAAUCUGCCUAUUAGUGGGGGACAACAUCUCGAAAGGGAUGCUAAUACCGCAUACGUCCUACGGGAGAAAGCAGGGGAUCACUUGUGACCUUGCGCUAAUAGAUGAGCCUAAGUCGGAUUAGCUAAUUGGUGGGGUAAAGGCCUACCAAGGCGACGAUCUGUAGCGGGUCUGAGAGGAUGAACCGCCACACUGGGACUGAGACACGGCCCAGACUCCUACGGGAGGCAGCAGUGGGGAAUAUUGGACAAUGGGGGGAACCCUGAUCCAGCCAUGCCGCGUGUGUGAAGAAGGCCUUAUGGUUGUAAAGCACUUUAAGCGAGGAGGAGGCUCUUUUGGUUAAUACCCAAGAAGAGUGGACGUUACUCGCAGAAUAAGCACCGGCUAACUCUGUGCCAGCCGCCGCCGUAA
rnacentral:rRNA from 1 species